rnacentral:lncRNA from 1 species
GAGGAAGAUGUAGCCUGCUACAGUCUGAGUGGCAAUGUUGAACCCAACCCACUGGUAGAUCUCGGUGGUGUAGUUGGCGCAGGUCACAAUGUUGAACAAGAAACCACGAGGGAUCUGGUAACCACCGCUACCACUUGGGCUUCUGAGGUUUCUCAGCAGGAUGUGGCAGUAGAAGUUUGCAAUCUGGCAGAUGAUCCCGAAGCCAAACCCAAUCUUCAUCUGCAGUUCACUCACUGGGGUGUAGAGCGGGUGGUUGCAGUAGUAAGCGAUGUAAGCGCCGAAAGUCCAGUAGUAGGCACAGUUCCUGAAGACGUUUGACAGAGGUGAUGUCGCGUGGCUGAAACGGUGCACGAAGAAUGUCUCCAUGAUCCUCUUGAAGUAGUGGAAGCACCAGUAGUACAUGGCAUAGGUCUGGACAGGGUGGAUGACCCGUUCCCCCUCGUACCCGAAGAAUUUGUAGACAGGCAGAUAAUAGAACAUGGGGUAGAUGAUAAGAGGACCCAAGUACUCAAAGAAGAAGAGUGUGCUGUAGUAGACUUGUGGGCCUAAAUCUUUGAAGACUACAGUCAGUGACCCGGAACCCUUCUCACAGUAUUCUGAUAGGCUGGCUUUUGGAUUGAGGACAACUGGCUUUCCACCUUUUCCAGGUUGAAGAGGGAGGGUGAGCCGCUGUCUAGCAGGAUAAUACUUCU